GGGCUGGAAUGUCAGUAAUAUAUAUAAGUAUGACCUAGCAGCAAUCAAUAGUUAUUGAAAAUCAGAUGCAUCAGUGCAAUAAGCUUAUGAAUGGUGGCAUAACACUACAACUACAGUCAGAAUUCACACAGAGCUAUACAUAUAUUGAGGAUAAUGCAAUCAUAUAUAACACUGUACAUAGCAGCAGUAAAAAUAAAUAAGAAAUUGUCACGUUGUAUAGUAGGAGACGGAGGCAGGCGCAGAAGAUUGAGGUGUUUCCCCUUUUUAUUUAACAAAAACAAAGAAAACCAAACGGAGUGCCGGGCACUACAAAAAUACUCAAGAGUUCAGGGGUUCAAUGGUUCAGGAGCACACAAACAUAACAGGCACACAAGCACAAUGACCUACACUGACAGGGAGAAAAUGGCUGAACAAAAUACACAGACAAACGAGGAGAACAGAAACAGGUGGGGGCUAAACACAGGUGAACUGAACAUACCAAUCAACUGAAACAAGAACAGGAAAGACCAUACAAGGACAAGACAAGGACAAACAAAAUAUUGGAGCGGGGCCUGGGGCAGGCCGCGGAGCUGGAGCGGGGCCUGGGGCAGGCCGCGGAGCUGGAGCGGGGACUGGGGCUCGAGUGCCCGGUCGGUGAGCAGGGAGAGUAUAAAUGGCUCGAAGCAACAUGCUUUAAUAACAAUUUAAGCAUCUGGGUUAAGUGAAUGAACCCACACUUACCUAUGUAGCCAUCCUCUACAUGGUGGCGUGGAGUACCUGUCUGGUGCCUAGGAGUACUGUGCUUGCUCCAUCCUAAAAAUAAACAUAAAAGUUGGUGAACAGGUAAAUAUGGUGAAACCAAGUAAACAUUGCAGCAAUUACGAGAUCAACAUGUAAUUCAACCUGGCGUGGAACUGCUGCCACAAAGUCAUCCACCUCCGGGAACAAAACUACAGAAAUCGUCAUCACCUGAAAGCAAUGUUUAGAAAAUAAGUUUAAGAAACCGGCAGCAUAAGACAGACACAGGCUAGCUAAGAACAACGUGGAGACACCUCAUUAACGGAAUGCGCUAGUCUAUCUAAAUUUACUGCCAAGAGUAACAUUAUAUAACGUUACACAAAGAAACACGAU
ensembl:lncRNA